UACGUAGGGUGCGAGCGUUGUCCGGAAUUAUUGGGCGUAAAGAGCUUGUAGGCGGUUUGUCGCGUCUGCUGUGAAAAUCCGGGGCUCAACCCCGGACUUGCAGUGGGUACGGGCAGACUGGAGUGUGGUAGGGGAGACUGGAAUUCCUGGUGUAGCGGUGAAAUGCGCAGAUAUCAGGAGGAACACCGGUGGCGAAGGCGGAUCUCUGGGCCGAUACUGACGCUGAGGAGCGAAAGCGUGGGGAGCGAACAGG
rnacentral:rRNA from 1 species